rnacentral:pre_miRNA from 1 species
AAAACGUUUGGACUGUCUGUCUACCGAGCAAUUUCACUCGCUCGGUGGAAGAUAUCUUUCUUGUUAA